rnacentral:rRNA from 1 species
UACGAAGGGGGCUAGCGUUGCUCGGAAUCACUAGGCGUAAAGCGCACGUAGGCGGCUUUUUAAGUCAGGGGUGAAAUCCUGGAGCUCAACUCCAGAACUGCCUUUGAUACUGAGAAGCUUGAGUCCGGGAGAGGUGAGUGGAACUGCGAGUGUAGAGGUGAAAUUCGUAGAUAUUCGCAAGAACACCAGUGGCGAAGGCGGCUCACUGGCCCGAUACUGACGCUGAGGCACGAAAGCGUGGGGAGCAAACAGG